GAUUAAAGAGUAAAUUGAUUCUUUCUGUUAAAAAUUGACGUGGUUGACAGAAUAACCAGACAGUUGCACAUGGAGUGCUACAUGUACCUCAUGCUUAUGUAUAGGGAUCAAUUUUUAACAAUAAAAAUCGGCGAAAUGUUCAACA
rnacentral:pre_miRNA from 1 species